GUUAAUGUAGCUUAGACCAUAAAGCGAAGCACUGAAAAUGCUUAGACGAGCUCUCUCUCAGCUCCAUGAACA
rnacentral:tRNA from 1 species